GACGAACCGUGCGAACGUUAUUCGGAAUCACUGGGCUUAAAGGGAGCGUAGGCGGGCUAUCAAGUCUGGGGUGAAAUCCCACGGCUCAACCGUGGAACUGCCUUAGAUACUGACGGCCUUGAGGGAGAUAGGGGCAUGCGGAACUGUAGGUGGAGCGGUGAAAUGCGUUGAUAUCUACAGGAACUCCGGUGGCGAAAGCGGCGUGCUGGAUCUCUUCUGACGCUGAGGCUCGAAAGCUAGGGGAGCAAACGGG
rnacentral:rRNA from 1 species